GUGGGGAAUCUUCCGCAAUGGACGAAAGUCUGACGGAGCAACGCCGCGUGAGUGAUGAAGGUCUUCGGAUUGUAAAGCUCUGUUAAUCGGGACGAAAGAGCCUAGUGUGAAUAAUGCUAGGAAGUGACGGUACCGGAAUAGAAAGCCACGGCUAACUACGUGCCAGCAGCCGCGGUAAUACGUAGGUGGCAAGCGUUGUCCGGAAUUAUUGGGCGUAAAGCGCGCGCAGGCGGAUCUGCCAGUCUGUCUUAAAAGUUCGGGGCUUAACCCCGUGAUGUGAUGGAAACUACAGAUCUAGAGUAUCGGAGAGGAAAGUGGAAUUCCUAGUGUAGCGGUGAAAUGCGUAGAUAUUAGGAAGAACACCAGUGGCGAAGGCGACUUUCUGGACGAAAACUGACGCUGAGGCGCGAAAGCCAGGGGAGCGAACGGGAUUAGAUACCCCUGUAGUCC
rnacentral:rRNA from 1 species